UACGUAGGAUCCGAGCGUUGUCCGGAUUUACUGGGUAUAAAGGGUGCGUAGGCGGGUUUGUGCUUCAGAGGUUAAAGACCGCAGCUCAACUGCGGGAGUGCCUCUGAUAAGGCAAAUCUUGGAUAUGAGAGGGGUAGGUAGAAUUCCUGGUGUAGCGGUGAAAUGCGUAGAUAUCAGGAGGAAUACCAGUGGCGAAGGCG
rnacentral:rRNA from 1 species